UACGUAGGAGGCGAGCGUUGUCCGGAAUUACUGGGCGUAAAGAGCGCGUAGGCGGCGCGGUACGACUUGUGUGAAAUCCCCCGGCUCAACCGGGGAACGGGCGCCGAUACGACCGCGCUGGAGGGACGUAGGGGGACCUGGAACUUCCGGUGGAGCGGUGAAAUGCGUUGAGAUCGGAAGGAACGCCCGUGGCGAAAGCGAGGUCCUGGACGUUUUCUGACGCUGAGACGCGAAAGCCAGGGGAGCGAACGGG
rnacentral:rRNA from 1 species